rnacentral:rRNA from 1 species
CCUACGGGUGGCAGCAGUGGGGAAUAUUGGACAAUGGGGGCAACCCUGAUCCAGCCAUGCCGCGUGAGUGAAGAAGGCCCUCGGGUUGUAAAGCACUUUCAGUGAGGAAGAACGCCUGGUGGUUAAUACCCAUCAGGAAAGACAUCACUCACAGAAGAAGCACCGGCUAACUCCGUGCCAGCAGCCGCGGUAAUACGGAGGGUGCGAGCGUUAAUCGGAAUUACUGGGCGUAAAGCGCGCGUAGGGGGCUUGAUAAGCCGGUUGUGAAAGCCCCGGGCUCAACCUGGGAACGGCAUCCGGAACUGACGAGCUAGGGUGCAGGAGGGGAAGGUAGAAUUCCCGGGGUAGCGGGGAAAUGCGUAGAGACCGGGAGGAAUACCAGUGGCGAAGGAGGCCUUCUGGACUGACACUGCGCCUGAGGUGCGAAAGGGUGGGUAGAAAACAGGAUAAGCUACCGCUGUAGUC